UGGGGAAUAUUGGGCAAUGGGCGCAAGCCUGACCCAGCAACGCCGCGUGAAGGAAGAAGGCUCUCGGGUUGUAAACUUCUUUUGAGGGGGAAGAGCAGAAGACGGUACCCCUCGAAUAAGCCACGGCUAACUACGUGCCAGCAGCCGCGGUAAUACGUAGGUGGCGAGCGUUGUCCGGAUUUACUGGGUGUAAAGGGCGUGCAGCCGGGCGUCCAAGUCAGAUGUGAAAUCCCGCGGCUCAACCGCGGAACUGCAUUUGAAACUGGGCGUCUUGAGUACCGGAGAGGUCAUCGGAAUUCCUUGUGUAGCGGUGAAAUGCGUAGAUAUAAGGAAGAACACCAGUGGCGAAGGCGGAUGACUGGACGGCAACUGACGGUGAGGCGCGAAAGCGUGGGGAGCGAACAGG
rnacentral:rRNA from 1 species